GCGAUCAGCUGUUUUGCCGGCUGAUGCGCGAGCCCGCGAGUGCAGCGGCCCUGUGACGCGCUCGGCAACAGGCUGAACCCUGUUUAGAUUAGCGCAGGUUUCUUUAAGAGAGCACUUGGUAGCGCACAUCCACUCCCGUAUUUAACCAGGUUACUAGAGAGGGGUUUUAUACAAUUCGGCGUUAGUUCGGCCAGUCAAGUCACAUGAUCAAAGCCAAUUUACUUUCAUGGAAAGGUACAGCGGUGAGCGCUCCCGUCUAAUCGGCUGGUGCGCGAGCGCGCUAAUUACGCAGCUGUGUCAAAUUAAGCAGAGUAAAGAGACGCCACUAUAUAGCAGAACAAAGGUUUUAGUUCCUCCACAGAGCUGUGAGAAUACUACCAACAAGAGCUGAACAGACAGCCGGUAAGAUCACUUUCUAUUUUCUUUGUGGAUGUGCGGCACUUGUUGCGCUGCUGUGGCAUUGGAAUGUGGGGCAAGGUGCUUUGUGUAAUGUUGGCUGAGUAAAUGGUUGCGUGUGGGGGAAAUGAGUCACUUGGUUCACUGCUAGAUAAUCAUUUUAUAUCAGAUAUGGAUUGUAAAUAUGUGCCUGUAAAAUUUGUGGUUAAUUAAUUCGGUAUUUAUUAAGUUGUGUUGGCUUUAAUUUGUUCCAUUAAUUCAUUGUUUCCUGUGGUUUAAAAAUGUAUUUUUAUGCAUUCACUGAAAUAAUUCAUUUAAAAUCUGUUUUAACUUAAAAGGAGAGAAUUUAAUCUAUUUUCAUGUACUUGUGUAAUGGCUAAUAUUUAAGGGUUUGAUAAUUAAUUGUGUUGUAUUAAUUGUUCAUUAUUGUGGGUUUUGAUAAUUAUUUGAUUUGUGAGUACUUGGGUAUGAAAUGUUAAUCAUGUGGUGUUUGUCAUUUUAAGGUUUUUCACCUACUGGAAAAUAAAAGGAAAAAAGGAAACAGUCUGGGCUUAUUGAGUGAAGUCCUGCCUAAUUGUUCAGCGUUGGUACACCCCUCCAAGUGUGGGGAGCACGGCGAAAAGCAAAACACUUGACAGUGAAAAACCGCUGCAGCCCGUUGCUGCGUCCAGGCCCCGCCCGCUGCUGCGUCCAAGUCCAGUGUCCCAAAGUUCUCAGUAAAGCCCAAAAUGGCCGAGUCAAAAUCCCUGCAGCAGCUGAAGAGGGAGAGAACGACUGCCAAACAGCGGUUUACCCGACAAGCAAACGUAUUGUUAAAGUCUUGCAAGAAAAUGUCGGCAGAAGAACUGGUGGAUGCCUUCGGCAAGGUCACACUUGAGGUCGAAAAGGUACUGGAGGCAAAUGAGGAGGUGGAGACCUUGACUGAGGAGGUGGAGCUCGAACCUGCUGCUAAAGAGUACAUCAAUGCAGAUGUGAGAAAAACAGCAGAGGACUGUGAACAGAGGCUUGAAGAAGUGGAGGGCACCGUCCAGAGGGUCCUAUGGCAAAACUUUGGCUGCUCCGAACUCUCCCUUGCAGUGGAAGCAGCUGAAAAAGAGUGCAAGCGGGUGGUGGCCAACAAACCUAGCCUGAAGCUGGAGGUAUACGAUCUCAUGCUCAGCAACCUUGAGGGGCUGGUGAAGAUGGCAAAACAGACCAUGCGCCAAUGGACGCGGUGGGUCCCAGAAGGAGAGCAGCCUGACUUCCGGCAGCGUGUCAGGAAUGUGGAGACUUCGCUGCAAGAGUUAAUUUCUGACAAGGCUACCUUGCUGCAGGUGAAGCUGGAAAGCAAGCGGCCCUCUGAGGAGACACCACACCAGUCACCUACCAUCAAGCUGAAACCAACGGCACUCCCACAGUUCGACGGCAACAAGCGGAACUUCUACCUCUGGAGGAAAGAGUGGGAGGCACUACAAAGGCAAGGUGAGCCAACUGGCUCCAAGGAGGUCAGGAAAAUCCAGCUGUUGGACAGCCUGGAGGACAAAGUAGUGAGGGACCUUCGCCUGUCAACAUAUGGGACGGCGGAUGAAAUAUUUCGUGUGCUGGGGAAUCGGUUUGGAAAUAAAACAGCAAUAGCCCUGGAAAUCAUUGAAGAGCUGCAGGCGCUGUCACCAGUAAAAAGUUACCAACCCAGGAAGAUUGUCGAUUUAAUACAGGUCGUGGAAAAGGCCCUGUAUGACCUCAGUGAACUAGGAAACACUGGGGCCCUGAAAAAUCCACUCGUUACCAAGUCCCUGGAGAGUAAGCUGCCAGACGGCUUAAAGAAGGAGUGGCUGGUCCAUGUGUCGGAAGGAGAGGAAGCCUCAUCACCUGAGGAGAGGUUUGACAUGCUCCUUAAGUUUCUGAGAAGUCAGGAAAAGAUUUAUGAGCAGCUGGACCAGCUCAGGGAUGAUGACCCUAGCAGGAGGGAGUCAAGAGUCCCACAAAAACAUGCCCGAACAAAAACCACCAACUCCUCAAGCUCCCAAGCAUCCUGUGUUGUCUGUGGAGAGAGGGGCCAUAGAAAGAGACUCUAUUACUGCAAGAAGUUCAAAGCUCUCAAAAUAGCAGAGAAAAAGGAAGCAGUUAAAAAAAUUGGCGCUUGUGGGAGGUGCCUGGAGGUCCACGAUGAUGACGCAGAGUGCAAGACCACCUUUCUGUGCAAAAGCGAGGGGUGUAAUGAUGCUCAAGGCCUGGGUCAUCACUACUACCUCUGUCCCAAGGCUACAAGUAAGGGAGAUGGGCCAAGGAAGCCAAAGCUCAGUCCAGCAAAAGGGGGAUGGAAAAAGUACACAGAGGCCCAGGAAGAGUUCCUGACAAGCCUGCCCCCUGACUCAGCCCAGCGGUGUCGUGAUGUCUUCUGCAACUCAGUCUCAAAGACAUUCAGUUCAGCCGUAUCUGAGAGGAGUUUGCUGGCACAGAGUGGAUUCGAAGAGUUCCCUGUCAUAAUGAUGAUCCUGGAAGUUACUGCAAAUGCUGGACAGAGGAUUGGGACCCUGAUUGACUUGGCGUCUGACACGAACUACAUCACUCAUGCGGCUGCAGGGGAGCUAAACCUGAGGAGUGAGGAUGUGACGCUCAUAGUCCAUGGAGUCGGCGGGAUGCAAGUGACAGUGGACACCAAGCGGUACUUCCUGAAGAUCCGGGUCACAACUGCAAAGGGAACCCUGAGGUCUCACCAGCUUGUGUGUUACGGACUGGACAGCAUUGCAGAGGUCAAUCGCCACAUACAACCCAAGACACUGCAAAAAAUAUUCCCGGAUGUCCCUCUUCAUGAACUGGUCCGUCCUACUAAAAUCAAGCUCCUCAUCAGCCAUAAGGAAGGCCGACUCGUCCCCCAAAAAGUGCGCUCUGUUGGUGACCUUGUCCUGUGGGAUGGUCCCCUUGGGAAAGCAGUGGGUGGCUCUCAUCCAGAUCUCAUGGAAGAUGUUAAAGUCAUAGCCCAUGGAUCUAGAACCCACUUUGCCCGCUCCAUGCGCACAGCAGCUGUUGCAUACCAGGAGGUCACUAGCAGGAGCCCAGUUCAUCACCUUCAACUCACCCAAGCAGUCACGUCUGCUGCCAACCGAGACUUCAUAGACUGGUGGAGGUGGGACAGCAUCGGGGCUGCGUGUGAGCCCAGGUGUGGCGGCUGCAGAUGUGGAAAUUGCCAACCUGGAGGGAAGGAGAUGACAAUCUCUGAGGAGAGAGAGCUGGAGCAAAUAAAGUGUGGACUGACCUACAUCAGUGGAGAUCGCCACAGCGAGAAACCACACUGGCAUGCAAAGUACCCUUGGGUGCAGGAUCCAGCAACAUUGCCAAACAACAGGAGAGCAGUCGAAGCAGCAUUCCUGAGGACUGAAAGGCAGUUGGCAAAGGAGCCAAGAUGGAAGGCGGCCUACAGAGCUCAAGUCCAUGAGAUGGUCGAGCGGAACGCUGCUGUCAAGCUGUCCAAAGAAGAGUUGGCAAGCUGGUCUGGACCUGUAUGGUACAUCAGCCACUUGAUUGCCCCAAACCCCCGCUCUGUGACUACGCCAGUCCGCCUCGUCUGGAACAGUAGCCAGAAAUUCAGAGGCCAGAGCCUGAACGACCUGCUCAUGAAGGGUCCAGACGUCCUCAAUGACAUCCGUGCUGUCCUCACCCGGUUUCGUCAAGGUGUCUUCGCAGCACUUGGGGACAUCAGUAAAAUGUAUAAUUCUGUAUGGCUUGAGGACCGGGAAGUACACCUGCAUCGCUUCCUGUGGAGAGACUCUGAGGAAGAGGACGUCCAGGAAUACGCCAUCACUAGAGUUAACAUAGGCGAUAAGCCAGCCGGCUGUAUCGCUCAAGUUGCCAUGCGGGAGACAGCCAACCUGCCAAUGUUUCGCCAUCUUGAAGGAGAGCGUCGAGUGUUGGAGCAAGACGCUUAUGUGGACGACAUCUUGACCUCGCAUGAUGACUUGUGCCAGCUCAAGCAAAUAACGACCAAUGUUGAGCGCAUCCUGAAAGCCGGAGGAUUCUACAUGAAGCCAUGGGUUUACUCCGGCCAAAGUGGGAGGUCAGAGUCAAGGCACUUAAAGAAGGAAGCACCCCCAGUGAUGGUCCUCCCAAACCAACUCUCUGAGGAGAACAAUAAAGCCCUGGGCCUUGGGUAUGAUCCUGAGAGCGACAAGCUUCACUUGAUGGUAGCUGUGAACUUCUCCAAAAAGAAAAGGAAAAUGAGACUCGAAGAAAACCUGUCAAGAGAGGAAGUCAGGGCUCGCGCGCCAGAUCCACUCACCCGAAGAGAGCUCCUCAGCCAAGUCUCUGGGCUAUACGACCCCCUAGGCCUUGCAACUCCUGUCAAACAAAAGGGAGCCAUCUUGGUGAGGAGAGCUUUCCAGGAGGCAAAGGUCAACUACAGUCCAGCAGUAGACACGUGGGAUGCGCCUUUGUCUGAGGGCCUCCGUGAAGAUGCCAUCUGCCUCUUGGAAGACUACGCUGAGCUCAGCCAGGUGAGGUUCAUCAGAGCCUUGACGCCACCUGACCCAUGUACCAAGCCCUGUGGUAUCACCUUCUCUGAUGGUAGCGAACGCUCUUAUGGUGCCGUAUUGUACCUUCGGUGGCAGGUACCAGAAGACGUGACCAUACGACUAGUCGAAGCGAAAGCCAGACUGACGCCAUUAGAUCACAAGGGGGACGCUGUCAAGGCUGAGGUCUGCGGAGCAGUCUAUGCAGCUCGUCUGAAAAAGCACUUCCAGAAACAAUGCAGCAUCCAUGUGGAGAAGUGGCACCACCUGGUCGACAGCCAGACAGUCCUUGGAGCCAUCCAACGUGAAAACUACGGCUAUCAAACAUUUUUUGCCAACAGAAUUGGGGAGAUCCAAGGCAGUACAAAUGUCCAAGACUGGUGGUGGAUCCCUGGGCCCCUCAAUAUUGCAGACAUUAUUUCAAGAGGGGCGAGCCCCAAGGAGCUGGACGAAGGCACAGAGUGGCAGCAGGGUCCUAAGUUCCUAAGUCUCCCAGAGACAGAGUGGCCAGUGAAGUCCGCCAAAGAUGUUGCUGUCAAGGCCAAAGAGAACCUCAUGCGCAUCCAGAGAAAGACGUUUGUUGCUGCCCUGACCCGAGCUGGAGAGAAGGCGGAGCCCAGGCCUGAACUAAUCUUAAGCCCCACUGAUCUGCACCGGCCUCCUGCCGGAGAUGCUGUCACAAGUCUGAUGGAUAUUCAGCGAUUCAGCAGCCUAACCAGACUGGAAAAGUCACUCGCACUGGUCUGGAGGGCAGCAAAGAAGUUUUUUCGUGGCACAGGAAGAUCAAAGUGGGAGGCAGUCCCGUUCAAUGGCACAGUCACCGUGGCAGAAAGAGAGGAUGCCUUCCGAGACCUCUGUCUAGCGGCACAAGUAGGAGCUACUUUUCCCAGCACCACAACGGACCGGCUGGUCGUGUACAGGGACGAGGCAAGUGGGCUAUUGGUAUGCGGAGGCAGAAUCCAGCAUUUCAAAGAAGACGGCUUGGCUGUUCCUCUGAUCCCCUUUGACACCUGGCUGGGGACUUUGCUUGCACGCCAGAGUCACCAAGAAGGGCAUGAAGGAGUUGCCGGGACUCUACUCAAGAUGCGAAAGAGGGCUUGGGUUGUGCAAGCCAGAAGGCUGGCCCAGAAAGCCGUUAACCAGUGCGUCCACUGCAGGAAGGCCAGAGCUCAAGUCUGUCAACAGGUGAUGGGUGACCUGCCAGGGGAAAGAUCAAGACCUGCUGCGCCAUUCCAGUUCAUGUCAGUUGACCUGUUUGGACCUUACCUGGUGAAGGACGAUGUCAAAAGAAGAGUAUCCAUGAAGGUCUGGGGGGUCAUCUUCUGCUGUAUGGCGAGCCGGGCCCUGCACAUAGACCUGGUCAACAGUAUGUCCACAGAGAGCUUCCUAAUGGCCUACCAAAGAUUCAUUGCCAUCAGAGGCCACCCCCUCAAGGUUUGGUCAGAUCCUGGGACCAACUUCAUUGGUGCAAAGUCCUUGUUGGGGGAUUUGUAUGCCUUCCUGAAGAGCCAAGACAGAGCUAGCCUCGAGGAGUAUGCAGCGACAAAUGGGACAGACUGGACCUGGAAAGUACACCCUGCCGACUCACCACAUCGGAAUGGAGCUGCUGAAGCUGCCGUGAAGGUUGCCAAGAGAGCUCUUCAAAGUUUGAGCAAGUCGCCUAAUCUUACCUUCAGUGAGUUCCUCACAGCCCUCCAAAUGGCAGCUAACCUGGCAAACGAGCGCCCUAUUGAUGCGAGAGUCCAGAGUCGGGAGGACCGCGUGGAGUACGUGACACCAAACUCACUCCUCAUGGGCCGAGCCUCUCACAGUGGUGACUCCAAGUCUUUUGAUUUCCAGGGCUAUCCCUACAAGCGGCUCAGAGAAAUCCAAGUCCAAGUCAACGAGUUCUGGAAAGCAUGGUCCCAGCUUGCUGGCCCAAACCUUUUUGUUAGAUCAAAAUGGCAUGCUACAGAAAGAAAUGUCUCCGUCGGUGAUGUUGUUUGGCUUUGUGAUCAAAAUGCUUUGCGGGGGCAGUUUAGACUUGGUAGAGUCGUCACUGUAGCUCCCGAUUCAAAGGGCGUUGUUAGGGAUGUUGAGGUUCUUGUCACUCCAGGCAACUGUGCCUCAGUCCACCAUCAGCAGGCAGUGAUCCACUCCACAGCUCUGAGUGACCGGAGAGAGAGGUCUAAUGGUGUAGUAUUGCGCAGAGAUGUCAGGCGGCUUGUAGUUCUUUUACCUGUAGAGGAGCAGUGCCCCUAGUGGGGAAGGUGUUUGGUAAGUUGUUCGCCUUUUCAGUUUCGCAACCUUUCUGACUAAGUCCAGAAAGCUUGAGUGGGAGGUGUUACGGCGAUCAGCUGUUUUGCCGGCUGAUGCGCGAGCCCGCGAGUGCAGCGGCCCUGUGACGCGCUCGGCAACAGGCUGAACCCUGUUUAGAUUAGCGCAGGUUUCUUUAAGAGAGCACUUGGUAGCGCACAUCCACUCCCGUAUUUAACCAGGUUACUAGAGAGGGGUUUUAUACAAUUCGGCGUUAGUUCGGCCAGUCAAGUCACAUGAUCAAAGCCAAUUUACUUUCAUGGAAAGGUACAGCGGUGAGCGCUCCCGUCUAAUCGGCUGGUGCGCGAGCGCGCUAAUUACGCAGCUGUGUCAAAUUAAGCAGAGUAAAGAGACGCCACUAUAUAGCAGAACAAAGGUUUUAGUUCCUCCACAGAGCUGUGAGAAUACUACCAACAAGAGCUGAACAGACAGCCGGUUUUUCACCUACUGGAAAAUAAAAGGAAAAAAGGAAACAGUCUGGGCUUAUUGAGUGAAGUCCUGCCUAAUUGUUCAGCGUUGGUACACCCCUCCAAGUGUGGGGAGCACGGCG